rnacentral:sRNA from 1 species
GACAGGUGCGGUGGCGCAUGCCUGUAAUCCCAGCAGCUCAGGAGGCUGAGGCAAGAGGAUCACAAGUUCAAAACAAGCCUCAGCAAAAGCAAAGUGCUAAGCAACUUGGUGAGACCUUGUCUCUA